GAUGAACGCUGGCGGCGUGCUUAACACAUGCAAGUCGAACGGAAAGGCCCAAGCUUGCUUGGGUACUCGAGUGGCGAACGGGUGAGUAACACGUGGGUGAUCUGCCCUGCACUUCGGGAUAAGCCUGGGAAACUGGGUCUAAUACCGGAUAGGACCACAGUUUGGAUGGUGUGGUGGAAAGUUUUUCGGUGUGGGAUGAGGGCGCGGGCUAUCAGCUUGUUGGUGGGGUAAUGGCCUACCAAGGCGAUGGAGGGUUGGCGGGCCGGGGAGGGGGUCGGGCCACAUUGGGACUGGGAGACGGCCCAGACUCCUACGGGAGGAAGCGGGGGGGAAGAUGGCACAAGGGGCGCAAGCCUGAUGCAGGGAGGCCGGGGGGGGGAUGACGGCCUUGGGGUUGUAAACCCCUUUCGCUAGGGACGAAGCGUUAUGUGACGGUACCUGGAGAAGAAGCACCGGCUAACUACGUG
rnacentral:rRNA from 1 species